UAUUUCAUUCUUCAUCUCCAUCACCCCUAAUUUAACCCUAGCCGCCUUCAAACCGCUCACCACCACCGGUCGGCGGCACCACCCCAAACCUCCCCAAAACUUCACUUUAUAACCCUCAUCUUCCCCUCAACCCUAAUCCAUCAUCAUUUUUCCCAUAAAAUCACCCAAACGCCCUGAGUUUUAGAUUUGAGGAAAUCAAGAAAACCUUCAGUCUCUUCCUUUAUGUUUUUCUUCGAGUCAUGGUUUGUUUAGCUUCAAUACCAAAGACUGCUGCCUUGACCAUCUACGAACUACUAUUUCAUGGUAUUUUUAAGUUCAUGAGGUCUUCAAGAACAAAUGUUUUCCAUCACAUUUCACUCCCUUUGAUGUUCAGUGCUCAAAGUUGUCAUAUAUAGCACUAAAUGUGCUUUCGAGUAUUAAAUUAGUGUUCAUAUGACAAAAUUGAACACUGACCGGAUUCUUCUGCUGGAGCUUGGUCAAUCACCAGUCCUUCUUAGCUAGCAUUUGAGUGAUUGGCCAAAAAGGUUUAUGAAGGAUGCCCAAAUGGCUAUAUCUUUGUAAAUUUGGGAGUGGUUGGAAAAGGGGAAGAAGUCACCAGAUUGAAAGCAUAGAAUUAGAUUAGAUAUUGUUUUGUAUAACGGAAGACUGCCUUGGUUGAAUUCGAAUGUCGUUCAUGCUAUCACAGUUUCAUGCAGUUUGAUUCAAUCAAAUUUAUUUUUUAGAAUGAACAUCCAUGUUUAGCUUAAUCCAUAGUUAGCCUAUUUUCUUAUAAUGAUAUGUUUUAAGAUCCGAAGCCUCAAGACUCAAGCCUCAUUAUUACUGAACGUUGUGAUAUGAAUUGUUUCAUUUUUGAACCA